UGUCCCGCCUGCCCUGUGAUUUAAUUUAACGGCCGCGGUAUCUUGACCGCGCAAAGGUAGCAUAAUCAAUUGUUCUUUAAAUAAGGACUAGUAUGAACGGCACCACGAGGGUUUAACUGUCUCCCUAUUUUAACCAAUGAAAUUGAUCUUCCCGUGAAGAAGCGGGAAUAUAAAUAUAAGACGAAAAGACCCCAUGGAGCUUUAAACUUACUUUCAAUUACCAAAACAAAAACACAUACCCGGUAAAAAUGACAAUAAUUUUCGGUUGGGGCGACCCUGGAGAAAAGUAAAUCCUCCAAGAUGAAUAGACUAAAAAAAUCUAAUGUUAGAGUUACAACUCAAACAAUCAAAACCUUGACAAAAUGACCCAGAAUAAAAUCUGAUCAACGAACCAAGUUACCCUGGGGAUAACAGCGCAAUCCAUUUCAAGAGCCCUUAUCGACAAAUGGGUUUACGACCUCGAUGUUGGAUCGGGAUAUCCUAGCAGCGCAGCUGUUGCUCAGGGUUCGUUUGUUCAACGAUUAAUAACCCCAC
rnacentral:rRNA from 1 species